GAAGUACUCCCUCCGUCACAAAAUUCUUGUCUUAGAUUUGUCUAGAUACGAUUCAUCCGUAUCUAGACAAAUCUAAGACAAGAAUUUUGGGACGAAGGGAGUACAUG
rfam:Triticum urartu cultivar G1812 contig331679, whole genome shotgun sequence.